AGCACCAUAGUGUAGUGGUCUGAGUAUUAGGCUCUGACUCUGGAGACCAGGGUUCAAAUCCCCAGUGGGCCA